CGGAGGAAAAGAAACUAACAAGGAUUCCCCCAGUAACGGCGAGUGAAGCGGAAGAGCUCAAGCUUAAAAUCUCCAUGUUUACAUGGCGAAUUGUAGUCUAUUGAGGCUGUUGUCAGCAUAGCGAUCUGGGAAAAGUCCCUUGGAAAAGGGCAGCACAGAGGGUGAUACUCCCGUCUUUGCUCAGAUUGUCUGUGUGUACGAUACGCUUUCUUUGAGUCGAGUUGUUUGGGAAUACAGCUCAAAGUAGGUGGUAAAUUCCAUCUAAAGCUAAAUAUUGGUGCGAGACCGAUAGCGAACAAGUACCGUGAGGGAAAGAUGAAAAGAACUUUGAAAAGAGAGUUAAAGAGUACCUGAAACUGUUGAAAGGGAACCGUAUCGUUUCCAGUGUUGUAUCCUGUGCAUAUUUCAUUGGCGGAGUAAUUUGCUGGUGCCCUGUGCAUGGGUGUGACGUCAGAGUCAGUUUGUAUGCUGCGGGAGAUGGUUAGGGAGAAGGUGCGUCACUUCGGUGAAAGUUAUAGCUCUCUAACUAGUUGCCGUGGUUGAGACUGAGGUGCCUACAACAUGCCUUGGGGUUCCGUGCUGCCUCGUUUUGGUGACUGCUUGGAUAGCUUGCUAUGUCUGUGGUUAAUCAGGGCGAUUGGUGGUGCGGAAAACCUCUGCUGUUCGGGACUC
rnacentral:rRNA from 1 species